AACGAACGCUGGCGGCAGGCUUAACACAUGCAAGUCGAACGCUCCGCAAGGAGAGUGGCAGACGGGUGAGUAACACGACGGAACGUACCCUUUACUACGGAACAACUCAGGGAAACUGGAGCUAAUCCCGUAUGUGCCCUUUGGGGGAAAGAUUUAUCGGUAAAGGAUCGGCCCGCGUUGGAUUAGCUAGUGGUUGGGGUAAAGGCCUACCAAGGCGACGAUCCAUAACUGGUCUGAUAGGAUGAUAAGCCACAUUGGGACUGAGACACGGCCCAAACUCCUCCGGGAGGCAGCAGUGGGGAAUAUUGGACAAUGGGCGCAAGCCUGAUCUAGCCAUGCCGCGUGUGUGAUGAAGGCCUUAGGGUUGUAAAGCACUUUCACCGGAGAAGAUAAUGACGGUAUCCGGAGAAGAAGCCCCGGCUAACUUCGUGCCAGCCGCCGCCGUAA
rnacentral:rRNA from 1 species